rnacentral:tRNA from 1 species
GCCGAUGUAGCUCAGUGGUAGAGCAGAGGACUGAAAAUCCUUGUGUCGUCAGUCCGAUUCUGACCAUCGGCACCA